rnacentral:rRNA from 1 species
CCUACGGGUGGCAGCAGUGGGGAAUAUUGCACAAUGGGGGAAACCCUGAUGCAGCGACGCCGCGUGAAGGAAGAAGUAUUUCGGUAUGUAAACUUCUAUCAGCAGGGAAGAAAAUGACGGUACUUGACUAAGAAGCCCCGGCUAACUCCGUGCCAGCAGCCGCGGUAAUACGUAGGGGGCAAGCGUUAUCCGGAUUUGCUGGGUGUAAAGUGAGCGGAGGCGGCGAUGCGAGUCAGAAGUGAAAGCCCGGGGCUCAACUCCGGGACUGCUUUUGAUACUGUAUGGCUUGAUUGCAGGAGAGGGGAGUAGAAUUCCAGGUGGAGCGGUGAAAUGCGUAGAGAUUAGGAGGAACACCAGUGGCGAAGGCGGCUUGCUGGAC